UGCGUAGGUGGUUUUGUAUGUCGGAUGUGAAAGCCCAUCGCUCAACGGUGGAACUGCAUUCGAAACUACAGGACUAGAGUCUAGGAGGGGAGAGCGGAAUUCUUGGUGUAGCGGUGAAAUGCGUUGAUAUCAAGAAGAACACCGGUGGCGAAGGCGGCUCUCUGGAAUAGUACUGACACUGAGGCACGAAAGCUGGGGGAGCGAACAGGAUUAGAUACCCUGGUAGUCC
rnacentral:rRNA from 1 species